UUUCUUUUCGCCUAUCGCACACUUUUCUUUUCGCAAACCUAGAGCAGCGGCAACAAAUCCUACUUGAACCCGCGGCGGCGGCGACGACAAAGACCUUGGCUUCUCCCUCUUCGUCUUCUUCGAACCAACGGCGACAGUCUUCUCCCUCUUCGUCUUCUUCGAACCGGCAGCAACCACAGACUUCUCCCGCUUCGCCUUCUUCAUCGACGGCGACAAACGUCUCCUGCUUCGCCUUCUUCAUCGACGGCGACAAACUUCUCCUGCUUCGUCUUCUUCAAAUCUGUGGCGAUAGCCAGCUUCUCCACCUCGGUUGGAGUCCAACUUCAAGAGGAUCUUGCUUCGGGUAAAAAAAAAGGAAGAAUGACUAACAUAACAGUACAACAGAACACCUAAGGUGAAACAUAAUGAGUUUCAGUUUUCCAGUUUCCAGUUCACUUUGAGUCCAUGCAAGCAAAUUUAUGAUUUCCUUGCUUUCUUUGAAUAAAACAUAAAAUCUUUUGAAAAAUUUAAAUUCUUUGAAAGGUUCCACUUCUAAGGUGAAAAUGAUGUCAAAUUAGUUUAAGGAGGGUUCAUUUUGUCUGCUUUAGUCCUUUUCUAAUUCGAACUGUGGAAUUAGUGAUAACUAUUGAGAUGAGAAAUAUGUGCUCAUUUCCCAAUUACUUUAUAUCUAUGUGUCUGACCUCAUGAUACUUCUAAGGUGAAAACUAUGUUUGUAUUUGUCUUUCGCUUAUCAGUUAUUAGGAUUUCCACCUUGUUGAUUUUCUAUUUGGUUCAUUGUCCUUUUUAUAUUAUAGGUUGCAAUGACUCGGUUUUCAGUAAGCCAAGAGAUGAAAAUGAUGUAUGUAUUCAUUAUGCACAUGAAGAUGAUGGAAAGCAAGAUCUUUUUGCUUUUAUUAUUGACAAUAUUCUUAACUGUCAAGAGAAGAAAUGCUAGGUUCAGGAGGAGCAUAUCAUAUGGUACCACGUGCAGACAAGAGAAAGGAGGUACCAUCUCAGCUGAAGGACUCACUGUGCUAAAACUUGCGGACAAUAUCAUCAUCACUGUGUCAAUGUUGUGACAUGAAAUGCAUUUUGGAUUUUAAUUUACCUCACAAAAAUUUCAAACUGUAUCUAGAUGGUGUGACAUUUGUGGAGCCUUUGAGACCAAAUGGUGUGAUGCGUAAUGCUGAAAAUUGUGUUAUUUAUAUACAUGCGUGUAAGAAGAUAAUAGUUGAUUACUAUUUAUUAUU